rnacentral:rRNA from 1 species
AUUGAACGCUGGCGGCAUGCUUUACACAUGCAAGUCGAACGGCAGCGGGGAGGAGCUUGCUUCUCUGCCGGCGAGUGGCGAACGGGUGAGUAAUACAUCGGAACGUGUCGAGAAGAGGGGGAUAACCACCCGCAAGGGUGGCUAAUACCGCAUAAAUUCUGAGGAAGAAAGCUGGGGACCUAGGAAUAGGCCUAGCGCUUUUUGAGCGGCCGAUGUCGGAUUAGCUAGUUGGGGAGGUAAAGGCUCACCAAGGCGAAGAUCUGUAGCGGGUCUGAGAGGAUGAUCCGCCACACUGGGACUGAGACACGGCCCAGACUCCUACGGGAGGCAGCAGUGGGGAAUUUUGGACAAUGGGGGCAACCCUGAUCCAGCCAUGCCGCGUGUAUGAAGAAGGCCUUAGGGUUGUAAAGUACUUUUGUUAGGGAAGAAAAGUCAGCUGUGAAUAAUGGCUGAUACUGACGGUACCUAAAGAAUAAGCACCGGCCAACUACGUG